rnacentral:rRNA from 1 species
GAUGAACGCUGGCGGCGUGCCUAAUACAUGCAAGUCGAGCGAACGGACGAGAAGCUUGCUUCUCUGAUGUUAGCGGCGGACGGGUGAGUAACACGUGGAUAACCUACCUAUAAGACUGGGAUAACUUCGGGAAACCGGAGCUAAUACCGGUUAAUAUUUUGAACCGCAUGGUUCAAAAGUGAAAGACGGUCUUGCUGUCACUUAUAGAUGGAUCCGCGCUGCAUUAGCUAGUUGGUAAGGUAACGGCUUACCAAGGCAACGAUGCAUAGCCGACCUGAGAGGGUGAUCGGCCACACUGGAACUGAGACACGGUCCAGACUCCUACGGGAGGCAGCAGUAGGGAAUCUUCCGCAAUGGGCGAAAGCCUGACGGAGCAACGCCGCGUGAGUGAUGAAGGUCUUCGGAUCGUAAAACUCUGUUAUUAGGGAAGAACAUAUGUGUAAGUAACUGUGCACAUCUUGACGGUACCUAAUCAGAAAGUCACGGCUAACUACGUG